CCUACGGGACGCAGCAGUAGGGAAUCUUCCACAAUGGACGAAAGUCUGAUGGAGCAACGCCGCGUGCAGGAAGAAGGUUUUCGGAUUGUAAACUGCUUUAGACAGGGAAGAUACAAGACAGUACCUGUAAAAUAAGCUCCGGCUAACUACGUGCCAGCAGCCGCGGUAAUACGUAGGGAGCAAGCGUUAUCCGGAUUUAUUGGGUGUAAAGGGUGCGUAGACGGGAAGGCAAGUUGGUUGUGAAAUCCCUCGGCUUAACUGAGGAACUGCAACCAAAACUAUCUUUCUUGAGUGCUCGAGAGGAA
rnacentral:rRNA from 1 species